rnacentral:rRNA from 1 species
AUUGAACGCUGGCGGCGUGCCUAACACAUGCAAGUCGAGCGGUAACAGGUGUAGCAAUACAUGCUGACGAGCGGCGAACGGGUGAGUAAUGCUUCGGAAUCUACCCAAUGGUGGGGAAUAACCAGCCGAAAGGUUGGCUAAUACCGCAUACGUCCCACGGGAGAAAGCAGGGGAUCGCAAGACCUUGCGCCAAUGGAUGAGCCGAAGUCGGAUUAGCUAGUUGGAGGGUAACGGCCUACCAAGGCGACGAUCCGUAGCUGGUCUGAGAGGACGACCAGCCACACUGGGACUGAGACACGGCCAGACUCCUACGGGAGCAGCAGUGGGGAAUAUUGGACAAUGGGGGAAACCCUGAUCCAGCGACGCCGCGUGUGUGAAGAAGGCCUGCGGGGUUGUAAAGCAC